GGAUAUUCGCAGAACGGGUUUUAUCACGACAACAAUAUGUACUAUUAUUACAAUAUUCGUGUGCUUUGCUUUUUAUUCAUCGUCUACGGUGUACAAUCUUUGGAGGCUGACCCCAUGCGGUGUUACCGAGCUAACGAAAUUUUGGACUGCGUAUUUUCAUGUCCACCGGAGAAGACUUGUAGGAAUCGUGAAAUUAUGUUCAACUGCCUGGAUGUCAUACAACCCUGUAGACCUCAGUGUGUUUGCAAACCUGGCUUUUAUAGAAAUUUCAAUGGCGACUGCAUAACAGGCGAACAAUGUGCCAAAUGUCCCGGAAAACACGAAUUUUUCUCAUGCGGUUCAGCGUGCGAUACAGAGUGCGCCACAUUAAAUGAAAGUUGUCCAAUUUUGAACAUCAAAUGCAACGAGAAAUGUUAUUGUGAAAAUGGAUAUGCAAGGGAUGAAGAUGGAAAAUGUAUACCAAUUACGGAAUGUCCACCCAAGCCAUCAAUCUAAAAAAUAAAAAGAUCUAAUAAAAUAAUAUAGUGUUGACUUAAGGCUUAUUUACAUUUGCUACUUUUUAAUACGUUUUUAGCAUUAUUUUUCCAAGAAAUCUAAAAAACACGCAUUUCGCAAAAGUGAAUGUACUAUGCUAUAAAGCACGCU